rnacentral:lncRNA from 1 species
CCCUCUGUUCCCCAUAAUUUACUAAUUCAAAGUUUAAACAAGUAAAAUAUUUAUAGAACGCAGCCACAAAAUUCAGACUUAAGAUCCUUGUACUUUCCCCUUUUCACGUUGUACAUGCUCGCAGUGCUGGGUACUGAAUAGAUUGAUAGAGCCCUCAACUUCAAUUAGCCAUGAUCGCAAUUCAGAACUACCGUGCGCCCUUACUACCCAAAACCCCGGACCAUGCCCGAAUCCCUUCUCUCCUGACCUGAAUUUGAGGCUGAGGUCUGCACGCCUUGAUCAGUUCCCGAGCUGUAAAUUAGUGCAGCUGCGAACCCCAAACCACAAAUCUGAUGGAUAUUGAGCAAACCCUCGACGAUUUGCACGAGUCUUCGAGAGCUUUAGUAGGCGUUUUCAGCCAGUAAUUCCCUUAAGCCAUCAAGCCAUGCUCGAUAUUGUAGUAUUGACAAACGCCAAUGGACAUCGGCCAUAUACGAUUUUGCAUAAAUCCCUUUCCCAAACUCAAUCUCAGAGUUGUCAAAUACCAGCACCGGCGUCUUCUUUGAAGGUUGUGUAGCCAAGGUAGCUUUACAUUCCCGGCUCUUUUGAUGAUCGAAAUACAAAUAAUGUCAA